CAGCAUAGAGUAGCAAUACUUUGAUGGCGACCGGCGCACGGGUGAGUAACACGUAUGCAACCUACCUACAUCAGGGGAAUAACCCGGAGAAAUUCGGACUAAUACCGCAUAAUACAGGGAUGCCGCAUGGCAAUAUUUGUUAAAGAUUUAUCGGAUGUAGAUGGGCAUGCGUUCCAUUAGCUAGUUGGUAAGGUAACGGCUUACCAAGGCAACGAUGGAUAGGGGAACUGAGAGGUUUGUCCCCCACACUGGAACUGAGACACGGACCAGACUCCUACGGGAGGCAGCAGUGAGGAAUAUUGGUCAAUGGACGAGAGUCUGAACCAGCCAAAUCGCGUGAAGGAAGACUGCCCUACGGGUUGUAAACUUCUUUUGUACAGGAAUAAAAGACAUUACGUGUAAUGUAUUGCAUGUACUGUACGAAUAAGCAUCGGCUAACUCCGUGCCAGCAGCCGCGGUAAUACGGAGGAUGCGAGCGUUAUCCGGAUUUAUUGGGUUUAAAGGGUGCGCAGGCGGGAUUUUAAGUCAGCGGUGAAAUUUUCAGGCUCAACCUGAACACUGCCGUUGAAACUGGGAUUCUUGAGUAUGGAUGAAGUAGGCGGAAUUCGUUGUGUAGCGGUGACAUGCUUAGAUAUAACGAGGAACUCCGAUUGCGUAGGCAGCUUACUAAGCCAUAACUGACGCUCAAGCACGAAAGCGUGGGGAUCAAACAGGAUUAGAUACCCUGGUAGUCCACGCCGUANACGAUGAUUACUAGUUGUUUGCGAUAUACCGUAAGUGACUAAGCGAAAGCGAUAAGUAAUCCACCUGGGGAGUACGCCGGCAACGGUGAAACUCNNNGGAAUUGACGGGGGCCCGCACAAGCGGAGGAACAUGUGGUUUAAUUCGAUGAUACGCGAGGAACCCUUACCGGGCUUGAAUGUAC
rnacentral:rRNA from 1 species